rnacentral:rRNA from 1 species
UAACACGUAGGAUCCGAGCGUUAUCCGAAUUUACUGGGCGUAAAGCGCGUGUAGGCGGCCGGGUAAGUUGGACGUGAAAGCUCCUGGCUCAACUAGGAGAGGUCGUUCAAAACUGCCUGGCUAGAGGGCGACAGAGGGAGGUGGAAUUCCCGGUGUAGUGGUGAAAUGCGUAGAUAUCGGGAGGAACACCAGUGGCGAAGGCGGCCUCCUGGGUCGCCCCUGACGCUCAGACGCGAAAGCUAGGGGAGCAAACGGGAUUAGAUACCCCGGUAGUCCUAGCUGUAAACGAUGUGGACUUGGCGUUGGUGGGGUCAAAUCCAUCAGUGCCGUAGCUAACGCGAUAAGUCCACCGCCUGGGGACUACGGUCGCAAGGCUA